rnacentral:rRNA from 1 species
AACGAACGCUGGCGGCAUGCCUAACACAUGCAAGUCGAACGAGACCUUCGGGUCUAGUGGCGCACGGGUGCGUAACGCGUGGGAACCUGCCCUUAGGUUCGGAAUAACUCCCCGAAAGGGGUGCUAAUACCGGAUAAUGUCUUCGGACCAAAGAUUUAUCGCCGUUGGAUGGGCCCGCGUUGGAUUAGCUAGUUGGUAGGGUAAAAGCCUACCAAGGCGACGAUCCAUAGCUGGUCUGAGAGGAUGAUCAGCCACACUGGGACUGAGACACGGCCCAGACUCCUACGGGAGGCAGCAGUGGGGAAUAUUGGACAAUGGGCGAAAGCCUGAUCCAGCAAGGCCGCGUGAGUGAUGAAGGCCUUAGGGUUGUAAAGCUCUUUUACCCGGGAUGAUAAUGACAGUACCGGGAGAAUAAGCUCCGGCUAACUCCGU